rnacentral:misc_RNA from 1 species
UACAUUAAACAACAGAUUAAUUGUAUUAGUUUUAUCUAUUUAUUGUACACAUUUCUUAUACAGUCAUUUCGCAUAAACUAGUCUUGUUUAACAUUAAGCUUAUUCGGGAAGUACUUGUGAUAUAAGAGAUUAUAUUUCAAUUCUGUCAGAUAAAUACUAUUGUAUUACACAAUUUUACAAUUAUAAUUUGUUAUUUUCCUAUAAUUGUGUGAUAUCACACAAUACAACGAAGAAAAGAUACAAAACGAUUUCAUAGACUUAAUAAGCGUCUUAAAAAACAAAAUAAAAUAAUAUCUUCUGAAAUUACGAAUUUUAGUGAGCACAAUGAAAAAUAUUUGCUUCAAGAUUUUUAUUACCUCAAUAUUAUCAGUCUCUGUAAUGGUACCAGUAUACAAAAUUAUAGCAUCAUUCACACAUCCCUCAAGACUCCCUCAAGAACAAUAUAUCUUUCAUAGAAAUAAUAGACACAACAAGAAUAAGACUGAUAAUGAAACGUUAGAAGAUGAUGUUACUAGAGAAAAAGUUAAGCCAUAUUUCACCGAAGCUGCAAUAAUAAUAGGAGGAGGAACACUUAUACUAACAGUAUUCAUGAUGGCCAUAAUUUGGAUUUAUGAACGUUGGAACACACCGCCACCGCAAGUUAUAGAACAAUAUGAAUUACGUCAAGCCCAACAUUUCCAGCAGGAGCACAGGAGACAACAACCCCAGCGCAGGCAGAAUCGUGUAAAUUGGGCAAGAACUCUGGGUAAACAAGUUUUCGUAACAUCGGUAACAAUACGAGUCAAACACAUAAGGCAAAAGCUAAGGAUUUUGUAUGUACCAUACAGUUUCAUAUGUACCAGACAGUUAGUGUUAUUGUGUCCUUCAUAGGAAUAAGAGUUGAGUAGAUUCGAAUUUGAUUUAUUAUAUGUGAUCGCAACAUUACCAAUCAUCGAUAAAAUAAAAGUGAAAUAUAACCGCUUUUUGGCUCUAAACUUUUUAAAAAGCAAAAUUUAAUAAUAUUUUCUGGAGUUUUAUCCAACAUUGACAUACACCAUGACAAGGGCAAUGUUAAUCUGCAUUUUUGUAAUUUUAGUCAUCGUUACAGAAGUAACGUACACACGUUUAAUAAUAUUCAAUGAAACUGAAGAAAUUGAUAUAAAUUUCAAUAAUACUCAAUAUAAUCAGUCAGAUUAUGAAAUGCCGAUAAAUAAAUUUGAUAUCACAAAACUUUACGCUACACCCACGAAAGGAUAUAUGAUAAUGCGACUUAUGUUCUACACUGCGCUGGGCAUUAUAUUCAUCGUUUUCUGCGUACAAGCAUGUCAACUCCUGGAAGGAAUGCCCAGACCUCCAAUACGUAGAUUAUAUCACAGAUAUAUAAUGCGAUUGUACAUAUUUAUUGUAGAUGUGUUGCAAUAUCGACCAGUCAGAGCAAUAGAAGAUAUAGAAUUAGAAUAGAAUAGAAAAAAGAUAAAAAAAUAUAAUAGAAUAGAUAUUUGAGGAACCAGUAAACUGACGUCUACAUACAUACACAGAUAAUAAUAAGAAUGAUUAAAACAAGACUGCUGGUGGUAUGUAAUUUUAAUAAAAGUUUUAAGAAAUCUGCAAAUUAUACGCACAUUUUAAAUGUUAUAUCGUAAAACUGUAUUACAAAGCUAUUGUUUGGAUAUGAAGGCAAUGAAUAAUGAAGAUAUAUAAUUAGUUAAUGAUUUAAUAUAUAUGCGAAAAUGAUUUCACAUUUUAAAGGUGAUUUAUUAUUUUGCGUGGACUUCAUGAAAGGGACCAUGAAAAUCCAGAGCAAUUUAAUGAAGAGAUCGAAAAUGAGCAUCAAGAUCUAUAAACCAGCUUGAAUUUUUACACAUAUGACUAGAAUUGAGAUAUAUUGAGAAGAUGACUCAGAUGACAAAAUAGAGUAUGUAAUUCCAACAAAAGACGUAAAAGAAUGUACUAAUUGUAUAUAUGUAUAUAUAUACAAAUACAAAAAAGUUGUUAAAAGUUGUUAAAAUUUAUUAAAACUUCGCUUAGAUGCGGUACAUCGGAAUAUAAUGCGGGAAAGUACCCUUGAAUAUUAACUUAAAAAUACUUUAAUAUUGAUAUAAAUAAAUGUAACAUAUUCUACAAUAAUCAUGUUUUUAUGUAAUAAAAACAGAAGUACAAAAUAAAAUCGCUUUGUUACAGUAUCAGUCAUAAA